UGGGGAAUAUUGCACAAUGGGCGGAAGCCUGAUGCAGCGACGCCGCGUGAGGGAUGACGGCCUUCGGGUUGUAAACCUCUUUCAACAGGGACGAAGCGUGAGUGACGGUACCUGUAGAAGAAGCACCGGCCAACUACGUGCCAGCAGCCGCGGUAAUACGUAGGGUGCGAGCGUUGUCCGGAAUUACUGGGCGUAAAGGGCUCGUAGGCGGUUUGUCGCGUCGUCCGUGAAAACUUGGGGCUCAACCCCGAGCGUGCGGGCGAUACGGGCAGACUUGAGUACUGCAGGGGAGACUGGAAUUCCUGGUGUAGCGGUGAAAUGCGCAGAUAUCAGGAGGAACACCGGUGGCGAAGGCGGGUCUCUGGGCAGUAACUGACGCUGAUGAGCGAAAGCGUGGGUAGCGAACA
rnacentral:rRNA from 1 species